UUCUGGGUGGCGCAGGGAGCUGCCGUGGCCGGGCGGGGGCGGAUUGGAGCUACACCUGCCUCGGCUGGCCAGUCCGGGAGAAGCUGCCUAGUUGCGGCGGCCAUUUACGGGGCGGACCUGCAGGUCUCAGUGGACACGUCACUUCCGACUGGGUUAGCGUUAGCCUUGACCACCUGGGAGUGAAUCCUCCCAGCCGUGGGCUUCGUGCCUCUCGCCCUGUGAUCCUGUGCCCCCGGAGUGGGCCCUGCGGUGCGGAAGGGUAGCGCCUCCUCUCCCGCGCUCCUGGCUGCGGGGUCGGACUGACGGAGGCACCUGUUCUGAUGUUCCCUCCAGGGCGGUGGCCAGAGGCCCGGCAGUGGCCCGUCCAGACUAAGCUUUGAAUAAAGGAAAUUCAUCCUGAAAUGCUACUAGAAGUUUGAAAAUACAGUUGAAGUAUAAACACUGCCUUUAUAAUUAUUAAAAGUGUGUAUACCCAGGGUGUCUCCCAAAAAAUGUAUACACACUUUAACAGC